rnacentral:rRNA from 1 species
GAAGUCAGCGGCGGACGGGUGAGUAACACGUGGGCAACCUGCCUGUAAGACUGGGAUAACUCCGGGAAACCGGGGCUAAUACCGGAUAAUUCUUUCCCUCACAUGAGGGAAAGCUGAAAGAUGGUUUCGGCUAUCACUUACAGAUGGGCCCGCGGCGCAUUAGCUAGUUGGUGAGGUAACGGCUCACCAAGGCAACGAUGCGUAGCCGACCUGAGAGGGUGAUCGGCCACACUGGGACUGAGACACGGCCCAGACUCCUACGGGAGGCAGCAGUAGGGAAUCUUCCGCAAUGGACGAAAGUCUGACGGAGCAACGCCGCGUGAGUGAUGAAGGUUUUCGGAUCGUAAAACUCUGUUGUUAGGGAAGAACAAGUACCGGAGUAACUGCCGGUACCUUGACGGUACCUAACCAGAAAGCCACGGCUAACUACGUGCCAGCAGCCGCGGUAAUACGUAGGUGGCAAGCGUUGUCCGGAAUUAUUGGGCGUAAAGCGCGCGCAGGCGGUUCCUUAAGUCUGAUGUGAAAGCCCCCGGCUCAACCGGGGAGGGUCAUUGGAAACUGGGGAACUUGAGUGCAGAAGAGAAGAGUGGAAUUCCACG